UCGAGAAUCUUUCGCAAUGGGCGAAAGCCUGACGAAGCGACGCCGUGUGUGCGAUGAAGGCCUUCGGGUUGUAAAGCACUUUCGCUUGGGAACAAGAGAGUUUGGCUAAUAUCCAGAUGAUUUGAGCGUACCAGGUAAAGAAGCACCGGCUAACUCCGUGCCAGCAGCUGCGGUAAUACGGAGGGUGCAAGCAUUAAUCGGAUUUAUUGGGCGUAAAGAGCACGUAGGCGGAGGAGUAAGUUAGAUGUGAAAGACCAGGACUCAAUCCUGGAAACGCAUCUAAAACUGCUUUUCUAGAGGGUAGACGGAGAAAAUGGAAUUCCACGUGUAGCGGUGAAAUGCGUAGAUAUGUGGAAGAACACCGGUGGCGAAGGCGAUUUUCUAGUUUAUUUCUGACGCUGAGGUGCGAAAGCAAGGGGAGCAAACAGGAUUAGAUACCCCCGUAGUCC
rnacentral:rRNA from 1 species